rnacentral:rRNA from 1 species
UACGGGGGGGGCAAGCGGUGUUCGGAAUUACUGGGCGUAAAGGGCUCGUAGGCGGCCAACUAAGUCAGACGUGAAAUCCCUCGGCUUAACCGGGGAACUGCAUCUGAUACUGGAUGGCUUGAGAUUGGGAGAGGGAUGCGGAAUUCCAGGUGUAGCGGUGAAAUGCGUAGAUAUCUGGAGGAACACCGGUGGCGAAGGCGGCAUCCUGGACCAACACUGACGCUGAGGAGCGAAAGCCAGGGGAGCAAACGGG